UGGGCCAGUGAGAGUAAGGUUAAUAAAGCGGUCCCAUGAUUCGCCAAGAGAUUCUUCUUCCAGUUGUCUAAAAGAAAUAAUCUCACGCCGAAGUUCCACCACUUUGGAGAUUGGAAAAUAUUUAAAAAGAAAACUAUUAUAUAACUCCUUCCAAUCUUCGUGAACACUCCCUACUUUGAGUUUGUACCAAUGUCUAGCUUUUCCUGUUAAAGAGAACGGAAAGAGCUUCCAUUUAAGGGUCUCAUCGGACAUGCCUUCAAUGCGAAGGAGGUCACAGACUCGAUAAAACUCUCUUAGGUGUGUGUAUGGGUUUUCCUUGCCUUAUCCUAAGAAAGGUUGUUUUUGAACAAAUUCUAUGUAUUCGGGGUCUAUCUCAAAACUAGAUGCUAUGAUAGGCUUUGAAGAUUUUGGUGGUUCGAGAUGUGUGCCCGUAGUUCUAUGAAACUGAUUGAUAGACAUGUUUGCAUUCAUGUUUGACCAGAAAUCAAGGAUUAGAUAAGAGGAAUGAAUAGCAGAGAUGAGGCAAAGGAUAAAAGGAAAAUAUAUAUUUAUUUUUAUUUUUUUUAGAAAAUGAUUAAGCUAGUUCGUAGUCAACUCAGCAACCGUCUCCCCGACAACGGCGCCAAAAAUGCUUGUUGACACUUGCUAACACCACUUGAAUACUAGGUUGUCAUCCCCAGCAUGGCACUAGAGUGUACUAUGGUAUUUAUGCGCAAACAGAUAAAUCCGCAAGCGCACGGAUACCGUUGUAGCUUUUACCCAGUUCAAGGUUUUAUCGUAUCCACAGGGAAACGGGAGAAGUGAUCUACGCUCUAACUUAACCUAGAUAGAUAGGUAAGUGUAAAUAGGAAAGAUGGUAGAAUUGAAUAAGAACAAUAUUAAAAGUAAGAUAACAAUGGGUGAUAAUAUGGGAAUAGAGAGUAGAGCAAUCUAGUAUAUGGGCGAUGGUAGGAGAAUAGAGAGGACAACUAUGGUUUCUCUACUUCAAAGGGGUAUGUGUAUGUCUGGGACGAACCACGUGAUAAGAAUACACCACAAAGGAUGCUUAUCCAUAGGCCGACAAACCCUACCCGUCCUGCUAACAGGAGGUGGACUACAGGGGACCAAUGUAACUGUCACCUAUGCGGCCUACCACACGAUCCAGCUAGACAGGGGAUAUCCAUAAGUAAUCUAGGUCUAAGCAUCACGCUUACACCUAUACUACAACUCUAACCUAUAGGUUCCUAUAGAUUAAAAGUACUCAAAAGAGUUGUGAACCAGAACAUAC
rnacentral:lncRNA from 1 species